CCUACGGGUGGCAGCAGUGAGGAAUAUUGGUCAAUGGACGAGAGUCUGAACCAGCCAAGUAGCGUGAAGGAUGACUGCCCUAUGGGUUGUAAACCUCUUUAGGCGGGGAGCAAUGCCGGGCACGUGUGCGCGGAGGGAGAGUACCCGCAGAAUAAGCAUCGGCUAACUCCGUGCCAGCAGCCGCGGUAAUACGGAGGAUGCGAGCGUUAUCCGGAUUUAUUGGGUUUAAAGGGUGCGUAGGCGGAUUUUUAAGUCAGCGGUAAAAUGUCCGGGCUCAAACCGGGCCGGCCGUUGAAACUGGGGAUCUUGAGUGGGCGAGAAGUAUGCGGAAUGCGUGGUGUAGCGGUGAAAUGCAUAGAUAUCACGCAGAACUCCGAUUGCGAAGGCAGCAUACCGGCGCCCGACUGACGCUGAGGCACGAAAGCGUGGGGAUCGAACAGGAUUAGAUACCCGGGUAGUC
rnacentral:rRNA from 1 species